GCUGGGCAUGGUGGCACAUGCCUGUAACCCUAGCAACUGGGGAGGCUGAGGCAGGAGGACCACAAGUUCCAGGCCAGCCCGGGCAACUUAGCAAGACCCUGCCUCAA
rnacentral:sRNA from 1 species